rnacentral:rRNA from 1 species
UGGGGAAUAUUGCACAAUGGGCGCAAGCCUGAUGCAGCAACGCCGCGUGCGGGAUGACGGCCUUCGGGUUGUAAACCGCUUUCAGUAGGGACGAAGGUAACCUGACGGUACCUACAGAAGAAGGACCGGCCAACUACGUGCCAGCAGCCGCGGUGAUACGUAGGGUCCGAGCGUUGUCCGGAAUUAUUGGGCGUAAAGGGCUUGUAGGCGGUCUGUCACGUCGGAAGUGAAAACUCAGGGCUUAACCCUGAGCCUGCUUCCGAUACGGGCAGACUAGAGGGAUGCAGGGGAGAACGGAAUUCCUGGUGGAGCGGUGGAAUGCGCAGAUAUCAGGAGGAACACCGGUGGCGAAGGCGGUUCUCUGGGCAUUUCCUGACGCUGAGAAGCGAAAGCGUGGGGAGCAAACAG